UAAAACUUGAUUACAGUUGUUAUGAAAUUACUGAAUGGAUAAAAUGUGGAUGGGAAUGGGAACAAAGCUUUUCGUCUCUACUGCAAAUUAGUGAUGACCAACUUGAAACACUGCUCUGGAAUGUUUUGAAACCGCUACUACACUUGUGUUUCGAAGCAUUUUGACCUGGAGUUCAUAUCAAA